rnacentral:rRNA from 1 species
UUCGCCUUGUUUUCAAAAAACAUGUCUUAAUGUUAGUUAUAUUAAGUCUAGCCUGCUCAAUGAUUUAUUUAAAUAGCCGCAGUAUUUUGACUGUGCGAAGGUAGCAUAAUCAUUUGUCUUUUAAUUGAAGGCUUGUAUGAAUGGCUGGAUGAGGGAGUAACUUUCUUUACAUUAAUUGGUUGAAUUUAAUUUUUAAGUUAAAAAGCUUAAAUUUUUAAGUGGGACGAGAAGACCCUAUAGAAUUUUAUUUUUAUGUUAUUCUUAAUUAUUUUAGUGAUUAGAUAAUAAGUUUAAUUAUAAAUUUUGUUGGGGUGACAGUGAGAUUUGUUUAACUCUCAUAUAUUAUAUUUUAUUUAUGAUUAUUUUAAAGAUCCUAUUUUACGGAUAAUUAGAUCAAAUUACCUUAGGGAUAACAGCGUUAUUCUUCUUGAGAGUUCAUAUCGAUGGAGGGGUUUGCGACCUCGAUGUUGGAUUAAAAUUAGACUUAAGUGCAGAAGCUUAAUUUCUAGGUCUGUUCGACCUUUAAAAUUUUACAUGUCGGUUUUUUAAA